UACAGAGGGUGCAAACGUUGCUCGGAAUCACUGGGCGUAAAGGGUGCGUAGGCGGGUCUUUAAGUCAGGGGUGAAAUCCUGGAGCUCAACUCCAGAACUGCCUUUGAUACUGAAGAUCUUGAGUUCGGGAGAGGUGAGUGGAACUGCGAGUGUAGAGGUGAAAUUCGUAGAUAUUCGCAAGAACACCAGUGGCGAAGGCGGCUCACUGGCCCGGUACUGACGCUGAGGUGCGAAAGCGUGGGGAGCAAACAGG
rnacentral:rRNA from 1 species